GAGGGUGGCAUGUGGGCUUUGCGGGCAGGUAGCCCUGGGCUUAAACUCCUGUCUAGACCCUUAUUCUAGAUGUGGGAUUUUGGGCAGGUUCUUUACACUCGGGGUGAAAGGCCAGCAGGGAGGCCGGGGACUGGACAGGAUGGCCCCUCCUUAGCCACGGCUCCCUGGGAAGCUUCUCUGACUCACCAAGACAGCUCGGAGGAGGCCGUCAGAGCCAGGGCUGCUGCCAGGGCGUAGUCCGCAGCGCUGAACUCAUGCUCUUCUUCGCUGCUCCCAGAAGGAGGGGAGUGAAUGGCUCCUGCAGGAUUGGCUGGGGGCUCCCUGAGAUUAGGGCUGCAUCUGCCCACCUCAGCCUCAGGGCACCAGCAGGCAGGGCUGUGCCUCCCUCCUCAUACUGGGGUCUCAGAAAGCAAGGCUGCAUCCCCCCAACCCUGAACGUACUUCCCUCCUCAAACAGGGUUUCCAGAGGACAGGGCUGUGCCUCUUCCAUCACAUGGGGGUCUCCAGAGAGCCAAUUGUGUCUCCCCCCUCAGACAGGGGGUUCAGAAAGCAGGGAUGUCCCUCCCCCCAUCAGGUUGGAGCCUCCAGAGGGCUAGGCUGGGCCUCCCUCCUCAGACUGGGGGCCCUGGGAACAGGGCAGUGGCUGGGCGGGGACCCUGUGGCUCCCACCUGCUGCGGAAGGUCCACGUCCGCACAGAGGAGCCCAUGCGCAGGCUGUGCUGCCGCUCCUCCUUCUGCUCCUCCUCCUGCCGGUGCUCCAGCCUGUGAACCUCCAUGGCCUGGGGGGGCCGGGGGUCCCCCGCACCUCCCAAGCUGUGCGGCAGAGUCAUGGCUACGAGAGCAACAACCUGUCAAGGCCAAGGUCCACGGUCAUUCCACCAGCACUCCACAAUUUAGCAUUGAUUCAGACAAUGCUUUCUCUACGUAAUUAUUUUGUAUCUGUGCAUCUUGACUGUUCAACAAGACUGUAAGUGAACUAAAAGUAACAAUAGUGAGAACUUA